rnacentral:ncRNA from 1 species
CGAUGAGGUAGAGGCUGCGGCUUAUAUAAGUAUGUCGGACGAGAUACAGAGAAUAUCUUUGACUCCGUCAGAAUGGAUAAGUCGCCGAAGUUUGGAUAUAUUCACUGUAUAUCCAGGCUGGCGGUGUUACCGAACAGGAACACCACUGUCACGUUUUUAGAAACGUGGGGAGCUACUUUCGGA